GCGGGAUUAGUUUAGUGGCAGAAUAGUUGCUUCCCAAGCAACAGACACGGAUUCGAUUUCCGUAUCCCGCACCA
rnacentral:tRNA from 2 species